UCCAGAGCUACAGAGUUUGUGAACUCCUGUCGACAUCAUGGCUGAAGGUGGCGACUGGGGUGGUAAUUCAGUGGCCUCUAUAUCAAAGAAACAAAAAGGUGUGAUAUUUACUCAAGUGGGCAAUUUCCUCAAAAGUCUUUGGCCAGGCACCUCAUCAAAGAAAGAUGGUCAGAACACAGGAACAAUGACAGAAAAGCAAAGUGGGAUUAAGAGCGGAGCCUAAAUGGAAUGUGAAACCGCUGAAGAGGAAGGGGAACAAUGUCCGUCCAGAGGGAGAGGAAUAGGAGACGUGGUUCACGGCCCUGGAACUGACCCAAGUGGCGAAAUCCAUCAUGACCGAAAUUCUUCAAACAAGGAAUAAUCGAGUCUCAUUCAAGGAGCAGGUGAGUGAAAUGGGAGGGGAGUGGAUGCUGCAGAAUGGUGAAGACUGUAGGGACAGGG